AAAUUAAGCCAGAGAAGGUAAUGUUAAGCCAGUCCUGUAAAACUUAAAGUAUACCAAUUGUAAAAAGUAAGAUGAGACAAGUCAUGUCUUGUUUGAAUAUUGAGGUCCCACCCUCAAAGCCUAAACAAUUUUUGAUGCUAGAUAGCGAACUAGUACCGUGAGGGAAAUGGUGAAAAAAAUCUGAAACUUAAUGCUAACAAUCAGUUGAAGCUUAUAAAAAAUUAAGAAAGUGACAGCGAUCCUUUUGCAUAAUGCAUCAACGAGUUUAUUUCGGAGGCAAGCUUAAGCUAAAUUAAGUGUAGGCGAAAAGAAAUUGAAUAAGUUUUAAAUUGCUUUUUAAGUCAUCGUAAUAAGACCCGAAACUAAGUGAUCUAACCAUGAACAGGUUGAAUUUAAAGCGGUAACGCUUAUUGGAGGACCGAACCCGUGUAUGUGGAAAAAUACUGGGAUGAUUUGUGGUUAGGGGUGAAAGGCCAAUCAAACUUAGAGAUAGCUGGUUUUCUGCGAAAUCUAUUUAAGUAGAGCGUUUAAAAACUUUGUUUUGAGGUAGAGCACUUAAUAAAUAAGGGGGGUGUAAAACUUUACUGAAUUUAAUAAAACUUCGAAUACAAAACAAAAGAAUUUAAGCAGACAGACUAUGAGUGCUAAGAUUCAUAGUCGAAAGGGAAACAGCCCAGACUAUUUGUUAAGGCCCUCAAAAGUAAUUAAGUGAAAAAGAAAGUGAAAAAAUUUUAACAACCGGAAGGUAGGCUUGGAAGCAGCCAUCCUUUAAAGAAAGCGUAACAGCUCACUGGUCUAAAUAAGACGUCCUGCGGCGAAGAUGUAACGGGGCUCAAGCCAUGAGCCGAAGCUUAGGAUGCACAUAGUGCAUGGUAGCAGAGCGUAGUGUGACAUAGCUUCAUGUCUCCUUAGUGUCCUAGGACACAUCGGAGACACGAAGCUUUCGAUGAAGCGGGCGCGUGAGCGAUCCCGUGGAGAGAUCACUAGCGAGAAUGAUGACAUGAGUAGCGACAAAGAGUGUGAGAAACACUCUCGCCGAAAGUCCAAGGGUUCCUGCUUAAAGCUAAUCUGAGCAGGGUAAGCCGGCCCCUAAGGCGAGGCCGAAAGGCGUAGCCGAUGGGAACUAGGUUAAUAUUCCUAGGCCAGGAGGAUGUGACGGAUUGUGAAGGUAGUUCAGACUUAUCGGAUUGUCUGGGCUGCUCAGCAGUCCCUGGAAAUAGCCCUCCAUCAGACCGUACCCUAAACCGACACAGGUGGACUGGUAGAGAAUACCAAGGCGCUUGAGAGAACGAUGUUGAAGGAACUCGGCAAAAUACCUCCGUAAGUUCGCGAGAAGGAGGCCCAGUUUCUACGCAAGUAUUGACUGGGGGCACAAACCAGGGGGUGGCGACUGUUUAUUAAAAACACAGGGCUCUGCGAAGUCGCAAGACGACGUAUAGGGUCUGACGCCUGCCCGGUGCUGGAAGGUUAAGAGGAGGAGUGCAAGCUCUGAAUUGAAGCCCCAGUAAACGGCGGCCGUAACUAUAACGGUCCUAAGGUAGCGAAAUUCCUUGUCGUGUAAGUUCCGACCUGCACGAAUGGCGUAACGACUUCCCCGCUGUCUCCAACAUCGACUCAGCGAAAUUGAAUUGCCUGUCAAGAUGCAGGCUUCCCGCGGUUAGACGGAAAGACCCCGUGCACCUUUACUACAGCUUCGCACUGGCAUCAGGAUUGUGAUGUGCAGGAUAGGUGGUAGGCAUCGAAGCCGGGACGCAAGUCCCGGUGGAGCCUCCCUUGAGAUACCACCCUUCGCACUCUUGAUGUCUAACCGCGGUCCGUUAUCCGGAUCCGGGACCCUGCGUGGCGGGUAGUUUGACUGGGGCGGUCGCCUCCUAAAGCGUAACGGAGGCGCGCGAAGGUUGGCUCAGAGCGGUCGGAAAUCGCUCGUUGAGUGCAAUGGCAGAAGCCAGCCUGACUGCGAGACUGACAAGUCGAGCAGAGACGAAAGUCGGCCAUAGUGAUCCGGUGGUCCCAAGUGGGAGGGCCAUCGCUCAACGGAUAAAAGGUACGCCGGGG
rnacentral:rRNA from 1 species